AUGAAAAUGUAAACAACAAAGAUCGGGCCCCGGUUCCGGACCCAGCGUACCCGCCCUGCCAUGAGACGAUCACCUCCACUCGUCUCCCUCGUUUUGGCCACUAAAUGGCCUAUAUUAGCCCGUGUCGGCCAUAAUGCCCACUCUCCCCAGCAAUAUUAUUUUAGCCGGACAUGAUUUCUUUCAAUAGCUGUUUAGGAUCUCAUGCAAGCGGAUAAUUCAUUAACUUCACAGGUGCGUAUUACUGCUGCAUAUAUUUAUACUAAUUGACAAAGCGCCUUAAUUCCUAAAUUUUUCUCUUAUAGAAUUAAAUUUUUUUUUUUUUUUUUUUUUUUUUUUUUACAACACUGAAUGGAACAGGCGACGAAACACUACAAGGAUAUUGCUAGUCGCCGCAAAAGAAACGCGCAAUGAGGCACUUUAGAGGCAAUCGUUGCGCCGAUUUAGGAACAAUGGCCCACACAAUUACUUAAAACUGGAGCUCUCUGGGGGUGGUAAGGGGCGAUAUAAAUGCG